rnacentral:rRNA from 1 species
GAUUAGAGGAAUCGGGGAUAUAUUACUCUCGACCUAUUCUCAAACUACCAACCGGUGAGUAUACACUUGUUUGUAACUUGAUUGAAAUGGUGUGAUUGAAUGUUUGUGUCUCAAGUGGGCCAUUUUUGGUAAGCAGAACUGGCGAUGCGGGAUGAACCGAGAGUUGAGCUAAGGUGCCUAAGAACACGUUGAUAGAUACCACAAAAGGAGUCGGUCGAUAAAGACAGCAGGGCGGUGGCCCUGAAAGUAGGAAUCCGCUAAGGAAUGUCUAACAACUCACCUGCCGAAUCGACCGGCCCUGAAAAUGGAUGGCGCUUAAUCGUGUGACCGAUGCUCGGCCUUUAUGACAAGAAAUGUUUUAUAAAGGGUAGAAGGGCGCAACGGUAGCAAUAAAGUAUAAAGUGUAAACUUGUAUGGAGCUGCCGUUGGUGUAGAUCUUGGUGGUAGUAGCAAUGAUAAAAGUGAGUAAAAACCUUUUAGGCCGAAGUGGAGAAGGGUUUCACGUGAACAGCAGUUGGACGUGAGUUAGUCGGUCCUAAGCGGUUGCCUAAGGGCUAUUUCAAUGCUGACUUGUUUGUAGUUGUAUCGUAAAAAAGUAUGUCUACAGUAAAAAUGGGUCAGAAUCCGCGAAAGGGAAUCAGGUUAAUAUUCCUGAACCGGGCGUUGGAGACGUAGUAAUUACCUCUUUUGAGUUGUCUUAAUUGAUGGCAAAAUAGUAGUGUAGUUGUUGCUUAGCGGUAACGCAAACAAUCUCGGAGACGUUGAUGUCUAUGGUGGAGAGAAUUAUCUUUUCUGUAUAACAGGCCAAACAAGUACCUUGGAAUCGAGUCAUUCGGAGAUGAGGUAAAAAGCCUGGAAGAACAUUACAACUUUUGCAAUGUCCGCAUUAUAGGUAUCAACCCUUGAAAAUCCGAGGGAGUGGUUGAAUUUCACGUCCGUCCGUACCGAAUCCGCAUCAGGUCUCCAAGGUGUGCAGCCUCUGGCACUGGAACAAUGUAGGUAAGGGAAGUCGGCAAAAUGGAUCCGUAACUUUGGGAAAAGGAUUGGCUCUAAGGACCGGGCCAAUCGAGCUAGUAUUGCCUAGGUUAGUGGGGGUUGAACGGGAUUUGUUUGUAUUGCUUUGUGUUUUGCGGAGUAUAUAUGGAUAAAUUUGGUGAAGCAAACGCUGGCCCUGGAAUAUCUGUGUGAAUUUUUCAAUUGGUUGAUUGGCUAGUUGUGUAUGCAGUUGCUUAAUUGUGGGUGUUAUAUGUGGUUAGUGUGUAUCAGUCAAUAAAAUUCUUUACGAAUGGCAAGCA